AGAAUCAACGCUGGCGGCGUGCCUAACACAUGCAAGUCGCACGAGAAAGGGAGUUCGCUCCUGAGUAAAGUGGCGCACGGGUGAGUAACACGUGAAUCAUCUACCUCCGAAUGGGGAAUAACUGAGAGAAAUCUUAGCUAAUACCGCAUAAUACCUACGGGUCAAAGCAGCAAUGCGUUUGGAGAGGAGUUCGCGGUCGAUUAGUUAGUUGGCGGGGUAAUGGCCCACCAAGACGAUGAUCGAUAUCCGGCCUGAGAGGGCGCACGGACACACUGGAACUGAAACACGGUCCAGACUCCUACGGGAGGCAGCAGUGGGGAAUUUUGCGCAAUGGGGGAAACCCUGACGCAGCAACGCCGCGUGGAGGAUGAAAUAUCUUGGUAUGUAAACUCCUUUCGAUGGGGAAGAUAAUGACGGUACCCAUAGAAGAAGCCCCGGCUAACUUCGCGCCAGCAGCCGC
rnacentral:rRNA from 1 species